AUUGAACGCUGGCGGCAUGCUUUACACAUGCAAGUCGAACGGUAACAGGCCGCAAGGUGCUGACGAGUGGCGAACGGGUGAGUAAUGCAUCGGAACGUGCCAGUCGUGGGGGAUAACUACUCGAAAGAGUAGCUAAUACCGCAUACGAUCUAAGGAGGAAAGCGGGGGACCGUAAUGCCUCGCGCGAUUGGAGCGGCCGAUGUCAGAUUAGGUAGUUGGUGGGGUAAAGGCUCACCAAGCCAACGAUCUGUAGCUGGUCUGAGAGGACGACCAGCCACACUGGGACUGAGACACGGCCCAGACUCCUACGGGAGGCAGCAGUGGGGAAUUUUGGACAAUGGGCGCAAGCCUGAUCCAGCAAUGCCGCGUGCAGGAAGAAGGCCUUCGGGUUGUAAACUGCUUUUGUACGGAACGAAACGGCUCUGGUUAAUACCCGGGGCUAAUGACGGUACCGUAAGAAUAAGCACCGGCUAACUACGUG
rnacentral:rRNA from 1 species